GAGAGAGAAGAAGGAGAAAAUGGAAGAGGGAGAGGAUGCAGAGGUGGAGGAAAACAAAGAAAAGCAGAGCAGAAGCCCAUCGCCUGGGGAAACUGCAAGUUCUAAGGGGUCUCAUAAGCUGUGGAAGAUGGUAGCAUAGUGGUAGAUCUGUCCAAUCUUGGUGCACAGCAUGUAACCAUAUUAACUGAGUUGUGUUUUCAUUGCUGGGGCAUAUUUGGGAGGAGAUUUACAUCAACACCAUGGUGUUACCACAAUGCUGAUUCCAAGAUGCCUUCCAGGCUCGAACCUGGACAUGUGAGCCGCUGGCUGGCCUCAACAAUUUGGCAAACCAAUGCAGGACCUGAGAAAGGCAGAGGACAUUUGGAAGAAACACUGCUGAUUUGUAGCUCCAUGCAAGAAGAAAAGAAUUAAAAUUCGUACCACAGAAGCUACCUUAUUAGGGAAUUGAAAAACAUAGGUUCUCUCCAUGGAACACUGCAGAAGCAUGAUGGCUAAUUCGUUUGACAAGCUGGCAGGGCCAAGAUACCUGGCUUAUGACUAGGUCAUUUACAAUAAAGUACCUGCUGUACAGCUGCCAAGCUUGCUAUAUAAGUGUGCAAAAAUUUGGAAUUCAGACCACAAGAAUGCUGUCUGAGUCUUCAGGCACCUGGUCAUCUGGGUCCAGGUUGAUGCUGCAGCAUGUCUUCUAACCCGCCUACCACCAGAGGGCAGCAGCGUACAUUCACAACAAUUGUUGAGAAGUGGAAGCCGAUGAAUCUUAUGUGCAGAAGAGGACAUAGCAAAAGAAGAAGCAUUCCAUACCACCUGCGUUCAUGCCUGCCAUGCCCUGGAUUUGGGCCCCCAUCUGAACCAUCUCCUGCACAUAACCAUGCUAUCAUAAUGAGGAAUCUUGAGAUCUGUGACAAUCUCUCUCUUCUCCCCAGCCCACAGCUCCAUCACACCCUACUCUAAUCACUAAGGAUCACUCAAGAUACUUCACUGUCUUCUGUUUUUCCAAAGUCCCUAAGUCACUUUAAGACUUUCUAUGUCCUCUGUAAACAGUCACAUACUCAUGUCUGGGGCUAGGUAUACAUGUGGAGAUAAGAGUGCAAGAGACAAGAAUGAAGGAGAGAAAAGUG
rnacentral:lncRNA from 1 species